GACGAACGCUGGCGGCGUGCCUAACACAUGCAAGUCGAACGGAAAGGCCCUGCUUUUGUGGGGUGCUCGAGUGGCUAAGGGGUGAGUAACACGUGAGUAACCUGCCCCUGACUUUGGGAUAAAUUCAGGAAACUGGGGCUAUUACCGGAUAGGAGCUCCUGCUGCAUGGUGGGGGCUGGUAAGAUUCGGCGGUGGGGGAUGGGCUCGCGGUUUAUCGGCUUGUUGGUGGGGUAGUGGCUGACCAAGGCUUGGACGGGUAGCCGGCCUGAGAGGGUGACCGGAGCCACUGGAACUGAGGUGCGACCCAGCCUCGAACCGGAGGCAGCGGUGGGGAAUAGUGCACAGUAGGCGGGGGCCUGAUGCAGCAACGCCAGGUGCGGUAAGACGUGCUUCGAGUUGUAAACCGCUUUCGCCUGAGACGAAGCGUGAGUGACGGUAAUGGGUAAAGAAGCACCGGCUAACUACGUG
rnacentral:rRNA from 1 species